CAUGAGAUAGAAAGUGUUGAUGUACCGCAACAACGUGGUAGCCUAGAUUGCGGGGUGUUCUUGAUGUCAUAUAUGUUUAGCCUCGUAUCCGGUCAAGCAAUUUCAAUAGAUCAAAAGGAUUGUGCAAGACAUAGAGCUCGUAUCGUAGCUCUAUUUCUAUCUGAAGGAUAUAAACAAUCACCGCAAGCUCACUUCCUUGGAUGCUAGAUGCCAUCUAUCCUUUUUUUCCUGUUGAUUGUUGUAAAUCAUCAGAUGACAUCUAUACUUUUAUAUUUCGUCUACUAUUAUUUUAAGGCCCUUGGGCAAUUUCAAUGUUGAAUUUGGCCCUUCGAAGCUUACUGAUCCUUCGAAGAUUGGUGAGCUGUUGAACGGGUUGGAAACUAUGAGGAUGAAUAACCUCUUUUGGCA